rnacentral:misc_RNA from 1 species
UGGAUUGACAAGUUAAGAAAAUCAUUAGCAAGGAUUCACUACCUCAAGAUAUUAUUGAUGUAAAAAUAUAUGCUGAGAAUUUAAGGAAAAAAAAAUGCCCCUAUACGUAAAUCAGUGAAGGUGGCACCGUGGCAGCCAUUAAAGAUAGAGUUGAAAGAUUCAUUAAAAAUCACUUGGUCAGAUUAAAUGUAGACCAAUUUAUGCGCUAAUAAAUCAAGCACCAGUAGCAAAGAAGAUGUGGAGUAAACAAAAAAGAUUAUGUAGGUGAAAGGAUAACAAAUAAUUUAAUACAACAAAAGUUUGGCCCAAAACAAAAAAGGGAAUAUAGAAAAAGAUAAAUAUAUUGAACACUCAACUAAUUUGGUAUUAAGCUUUAGUUCAACUAAGUCAUUAUUACUUGUGUAACAUGUUAAGCCGUAAAUAUUCCAGUCUAACUCUAAGUUCCAAGUUAAGUGACAACGGAGGUAUAAAAAUAGUUUACAGGGAAAAAUUAGGCAUACAAUGUUCGAAUACUAAAG